UACGUAGGGGGCAAGCGUUGUCCGGAAUCAUCGGGCGUAAAGCGCGUGUAGGCGGUCCGGUAAGUCCGCUGUGAAAGUCGGGGGCUCAACCCUCGGAUGCCGGUGGAUACUGUUGGGCUUGAGUACGGGAGAGGCGAGUGGAAUUCCUGGUGUAGCGGUGAAAUGCGCAGAUAUCAGGAGGAACACCAAUUGCGAAGGCAGCUCGCUGGGACGUUACUGACGCUGAGACGCGAAAGCGUGGGGAGCGAACAGG
rnacentral:rRNA from 1 species